rnacentral:lncRNA from 1 species
UUGCAGGCACGGGGGGAGGGGGCGGCUCUGCCCCUCAGCAGGCCGCUGUGCCUGUUCUGCUGGCGGGUCGCAGGCCCGCCUACCUUGCAGGCGUGGUUGGCAGCUCUGCCCCUCCGCGGGCCACUUGACCUGUUCUGUGGGUGGUCACAGUUCCGCCUACCUUGCAGGCGCAGGGGGAGGAGGCGGCUCUGCCCCUCAGCAGGCCGCUGCGCCUGUUCUGCUGGUGGGUCCCAGGCCCGCCUACCUUGCAGGCGUGGUUGGCAGCUCUGUUUGCGGUUCUCUUGAUAAAGCGAAUCCUGUAGAAGAUGGAAGAGC